AAGUCGUAACAAGGUUUCCGUAGGUGAACCUGCGGAAGGAUCAUUAUUGAAUAUGUGUUGUGGAAGGUGGUCAAACACGUUCCGCAAUUUUCAUAAAAUCCUGUGAACUUGGAAAUUGUUUAUUGUUUGGCAGAGUGGGUGUUUACAUCUCCUGCCAGCAGUAUAUUUAAACCAUUUUGAUUGAAGUUGUCUGAAAACAAAAAAAAUUGCUAAAAA
rnacentral:misc_RNA from 1 species